AUACGGAGGGGGCAAGCGUUGUUCGGAAUUACUGGGCGUAAAGGGCGCGUAGGCGGGAAGUCAAGUUAGGGGUGAAAGGCCUGGGCUCAACCUAGGAACUGCCUCUAAAACUGGCUAUCUAGAGUCCGAGAGAGGAUGGCGGAAUUCCCAGUGUAGAGGUGAAAUUCGUAGAUAUUGGGAAGAACACCAGUGGCGAAGGCGGCCAUCUGGCCCGGCACUGACGCUGAGGCGCGAGAGCGUGGGGAGCAAACAGGAUUAGAUACCCCAGUAGUCC
rnacentral:rRNA from 1 species